CCAAGUCUCCAUGGCUUGGAGAAAAGGCAGCAUCUGGGGAACUUAGCAGGUCGCUGUGGCCAAGGUUUCUUAAGCAUGAAGAUACAGGCAGAGUUUACCAAAUUUGCAUUUGAAUGUAGAAAUCCCACCAUAGGGCACCAUGGACCGAAUGCUCUCUAGGCAUUUAUAUCUGAGCUAGGAGUUCUUUGUUUAUUUGCUGUUCUUGUGGAAGUUCUUCCAUUAAGCAAGACAACUGCAGGAGAAAUGAAUUACCUAAUUGGGAGUGGCUCUUGGUCUGUUUUUCCUUUUAACAUGAAGCAAAAAUAAUAAUCCAUGAGAUCGAUUAAGAACUUCAGUUUUGGAAACCAAAUCGACUUCGUCUCUGAGGUGGCUAUUUUUCAGCAUUCCAAGUGCUUUAAUUUUAGAUUGUGAAUAUUCUUCAUAGCUACUGUGACCAGCUGUAGUAAUUAACACUGCUUCUCAAAACCACUUCAAACCCCUGCAAGCACAUCCUUACAAAGUGGGGACAAGAGCGUCCUCAGCCUUUGCCACUUCAUCUGACGUCUGUGGGAAGGUGUCACCCAUGACAAGUUGUAGAAAGUUCUGGAAAAUGGACUUGUUCAUUUUGUGUGUGAGGAAAUGGACAGAGAAUGUCUGCUUGUGGGAAGGUUAGUGGCCAGGGGCACUGGUGCUCUCUGGUUGUCCCUGGGGAAGGCCACCACCUGACAGACUGUGGCUUUUUUCUAGACAAUUCUCUGAGAUUCAGGCUUUCAUAGAAAGUGUUGGAGACAUUUUAAGACAGGUGGACACUCCCAGACCUCAUAAAUCAUCCCACAGGCAACCUUUGGGUCCUACCUGAAAAGUUACCCACAAAGCUUCUGAUUUCUGCCCUCUUUAGUAUGAAAAAGAAAGCGUUCCAAAAUCCACACUUGCCUCAAAUCC
rnacentral:lncRNA from 1 species